GAUGAACGCUGGCGGCGUGCCUAAUACAUGCAAGUCGAGCGAACAGACGAGGAGCUUGCUCCUCUGACGUUAGCGGCGGACGGGUGAGUAACACGUGGAUAACCUACCUAUAAGACUGGGAUAACUUCGGGAAACCGGAGCUAAUACCGGAUAAUAUAUUGAACCGCAUGGUUCAAUAGUGAAAGACGGUUUUGCUGUCACUUAUAGAUGGAACCGCGCCGCAUUAGCUAGUUGGUAAGGUAACGGCUUACCAAGGCAACGAUGCGUAGCCGACCUGAGAGGGUGACCGGCCUCACUGGAACUGAGACACGGUCCAGACUCCUACGGGAGGCAGCAGGAGGGAAUCUUCCGCAAUGGGCGAAAGCCUGACGGAGCAACGCCGGGUGAGUGAUGAAGGUCUUCGGAUCGUAAAACUCUGUUAUUAGGGAAGAACAAAUGUGUAAGUAACUAUGCACGUCUUGACGGUACCUAAUCAGAAAGCCACGGCUAACUACGUG
rnacentral:rRNA from 1 species